rnacentral:rRNA from 1 species
GACGAACGCUGGCGGCGUGCUUAACACAUGCAAGUCGAACGGAAAGGCCCUGCUUUUGUGGGGUGCUCGAGUGGCGAACGGGUGAGUAACACGUGAGUAACCUGCCCUUGACUUUGGGAUAACUUCAGGAAACUGGGGCUAAUACCGGAUAGGAGCUCCUGCUGCAUGGGGGGGGUUGGAAAGUUUCGGCGGUUGGGGAUGGACUCGCGGCUUAUCAGCUUGUUGGUGGGGUAGUGGCUUACCAAGGCUUUGACGGGUAGCCGGCCUGAGAGGGUGACCGGCCACAUUGGGACUGAGAUACGGCCCAGACUCCUACGGGAGGCAGCAGUGGGGAAUAUUGCACAAUGGGCGGAAGCCUGAUGCAGCAACGCCGCGUGCGGGAUGACGGCCUUCGGGUUGUAAACCGCUUUCGCCUGUGACGAAGCGUGAGUGACGGCAAUGGGUAAAGAAGCACCGGCUAACUACGUG